GCGUAAAGGGCAAGUAGGUGGGAAUUGACUUAAAAAAUGAAAGACUAGAUACUAAUCUUUUAUGUUUUUUAAUUAAAUUCCUAGAAUAUCAGACGUGAGGAUUCGUACGUAAAAUUUAGCGGUUAAAUGCACAGAGAUUUAGGGACGGACAUCGGUGAAAGAAAUAUCAAGUCGAUUAUUGACGCUGAGAGACGAAAGACGGGGAGCAAAGAAGAUUAGAGACCUUCGUAGUCCGUGCUGUCAACGCUGAGUUUUCAAUAUAGAAUUAUUUAGAAUAAAUUUAGUGUUUAAGCAAACGCAUUAAAUUUCCGCCUGGGAAGUACGAUCGCAAGAUUGAAAUCAAAAGAAUUGACGGUGACUUGUACAAAG
rnacentral:rRNA from 1 species